AUGUUUGAAUGCUUACUACUUCAUUAUUUACCAUUGUCGUGCAUAAACUUUUCAAAGGAACUAAUACUCGGUGCUGAGCCUAUUUUCCACCAUAGGUCACAACUUUUGUGUUGCAACCGACGACACAUGGCUUCCUCUUGGACCCUCAACAAUCGACACACAUGCACACUUACACACAUUCGUAGCUUAAUCCUAGGUUCUCUUAUAGUGACACCUAAUCGAUUAAUUGUUUCAAUUAGUCGUCUAGAAGACUAA